rnacentral:rRNA from 1 species
GGGUUGCCUCAGUAGCGGCGAGUGAAGCGGCAAAAGCUCAAAUUUGAAAUCUGGUAGCUUUGCUAUCCGAGUUGUAAUUUGUAGAAGACUGUCUUUGUAAGGGUGCCUGUCUAAGUUCCUUGGAACAGGACGUCGCAGAGGGUGAGAAUCCCGUGUGAUGGGUGGCCCGAACUUUUAAGACGUUUUCGAAGAGUCGAGUUGUUUGGGAAUGCAGCUCUAAGUGGGUGGUAAAUUCCAUCUAAAGCUAAAUAUUGGCGAGAGACCGAUAGCGAACAAGUACAGUGAUGGAAAGAUGAAAAGAACUUUGAAAAGAGAGUGAAACAGUACGUGAAAUUGUUGAAAGGGAAGGGUAUUUGAUCCGACAUGGGAUUUACUCAUCAUUGCUCCUUGUGGGUGGUGCUCUGGGUUUUUCCUGGGCCAGAAUCAGUUUGUGUGGCAGGAUAAAGGCUUGGGGAAGUAACUCUUCUGGAGUAAUAUAACCCUUGUUAAUGCUGCCUAUGCGGACUGAGGAAUGCGGUAUUUUACCAAGGAUUCUGGCAUAACGAUUAAAUACCGC